AUACGGGGGGGGCAGGCGUUGUUCGGAAUUACUGGGCGUAAAGGGCGCGUAGGCGGACCAGACAGUCUUUCGUGAAAUCCCACGGCUCAACCGUUGAACUGCGGGAGAUACUACUUGUCUUGAGUUCGGGAGAGGAGUGUGGAAUUCCCAGUGUAGCGGUGAAAUGCGUAGAUAUUGGGAGGAACACCGGUGGCGAAGGCGGCACUCUGGACCGAUACUGACGCUGAGGCGCGAAAGCUAGGGGAGCAAACGGGAUUAGAAACCCCGGUAGUCC
rnacentral:rRNA from 1 species